CGUGUAUGUAUGCAGUAGAACAGGAUAUAACAAAAGUGUUGGUUCCUUUCCCUCCUCCAGAGCUCGUGAAACCCGCCUGCCAUCAUCAGCGGCAAUGCCAGGGUUUGGGAGAGCUUCUGGCUGACCUGCUGUUCAGCUGGCCUCCACCCUUCCCCCAACCACCAGGACAUUUAAGCAAAACAACCUGCUUUUGCCCGAAUGACCCAGGGGAUCUUGAGAUGGGGAGAUUUUCCUGGAUCAUUCGACUAGGCUCUAAAUGCCAUCAUACAUAUCCUUCUAAGAGAGAAUGAGAGAUUUGACACACACAUACGGAACAGGAAGAAGCAAUGUGACCACAGAGGCAGAUAUUGAGAGUGAAGCCACUGCAAGCCAAAUGCUGGCAGCC
rnacentral:lncRNA from 1 species